rnacentral:rRNA from 1 species
UACGUAGGGGGCAAGCGUUGUCCGGAUUUAUUGGGCGUAAAGAGCGUGUAGGCGGCUAGGUAGGUCCGUUGUGAAAACUCGAGGCUCAACCUCGAGACGCCGAUGGAAACCAUCUGGCUAGAGUCCGGAAGAGGAGAAUGGAAUUCCCGGUGUAGCGGUGAAAUGCGCAGAUAUCGGGAAGAACACCCGUGGCGAAGGCGGUUCUCUGGGACGGUACUGACGCUGAGACGCGAAAGCGUGGGGAGCGAACAGG